rnacentral:rRNA from 1 species
AUGUGUAUAAGGCCCGGGAACGAAUUCACCGCCGUAUGGCUGACCGGCGAUUACUAGCGAUUCCGGCUUCAUGCAGGCGAGUUGCAGCCUACAAUCCGAACUGAGGACGGGUUUUUGGAGUUAGCUCACCCUCGCGGGAUCGCGAUCCUUUGUCCCGUCCAUUGUAAACAUCCCCCAACCC